rnacentral:sRNA from 1 species
GUGGACGGUUGGCGAGGGAGUGUGUGUGUGUGUGUCCAAGUGACCAGAAGGACGCCUGGAAGAAACCAAUGCUUGCGGGUUGCUGCAACUACAGGGAGUAAGUCACCUGUGCGGGGCCGAGACCCCCAGAGUCUCGCCCUGGGAAAAGUUGUGCGGGGAGGGGAGGACGUCGGCCGAGAUGCCGCGGCAGUUUCCCAAGCUGAACAUCUCUGAAGUGGAUGAGCAAGUCCGGCUCCUGGCGGAGAAGGUGUUUGCUAAAGUGCUCCGAGAAGAGGACAGCAAAGAUGCCCUGUCCCUGUUCACUGUCCCAGAGGACUGCCCCAUCGGGCAAAAGGAAGCCAAGGAGAGGGAGCUGCAGAAGGAGCUGGCAGAGCAGAAGUCUGUGGAGACCGCAAAAAGAUCACUUUGGAGGACUAUGAGCAGGCAGCCAAGAGUCUGGCCAAGGCCCUAAUGAUCCGGGAGAAGUAUGCGCGGCUCGCCUACCACCGCUUCCCGCGGAUCACAU